AUUGAACGCUAGCGGGAUGCCUUACACAUGCAAGUCGAACGGAGUGGCGAACGGGUGAGGAAUGUAUCUGAACGUGCCCCGGAGCGGGGGAUAACUACGCGAAAGCGUAACUAAUACCGCAUACUCUUGGAGCGGCAGGUACCGGAUUAGCUAGUGGGUGGGGUAAGGGCUAACCAAGGCGACGAUCCGUAGCUGGUUUGAGAGGACGACCAGCCACACUGGAACUGAGACACGGCCCAGACUCCUACGGGAGGCAGCAGUGGGGAAUUUUGGACAAUGGGGGAAACCCUGAUACAGCCAUGCCGCGUGUGCGAUGAAGGCCUUCGGGUUGUAAAGCACUUUUGGCAAGAAGGCGGUACUUGCAGAAUAAGCACCGGCUAACUACGUGCCAGCCGCCGCGGUAAUUC
rnacentral:rRNA from 1 species